UCGAUUUCUUUUCCCUACAGUACUCCGUCUGGAAUAGGUUGAUUCGCCCUUGUUUACUUCGGAGGAGUAACUCCAAUGAUUUUAAACCUCAAACUGUGCC